UGGAAAAUUAGAAGGUGCAGUAACUUAAGUGAGCUAAACGGGGACAAAAAGAUGCUGGACAACAAUUGAAAUUUCAAAUCAAGAUAAUUUUUUAAAUCAUCUGUAACUCAAAACCAGUUUGCAUUUUCUUCAGUCUGCGGUGAACCAGCUAAGCAGGGGACUACAACUCCCAUCAGCCCCCUCCCUGCUGAACUUCCCUUUCUCCAGGCUAGGGAGGAGGAAGGACCUUCCUUGACCCAGGAACUGACAGGGCACUCUUGGGAAGGAGCAGCUGCAGGAAACUGGAAGCAGAGAGGCAUCCCCAGGAACUAUCUGCAGAGUCAUGCAUGGCACAGACUGUGACUGUCAGAAAUCCCACCUAGUCCAGAACCUUAACACACAAGAACCAAAAGCAGAGAGACGAAGCAGACUGCUGCCUAUGGCAGAGAGGUGCAGCACAUCCCAUCUUGUUCUAGGCUGGCCCUUUGCAGACUGACUGCUGA